rnacentral:lncRNA from 1 species
CCCAAGAACCGCCUCCGGGCGAGAGCUACGACAGCGUCCUCGCAACUUGCCCUCCGCGGAACUGGCCCUGUCCCUCCCAGUGGCGGUAACCCAAACCGGAGGUCUUCUUUUCGCCCCGUUGGAGUAAGCGGGGACUCGAGUAAACACCUUCCGGACGAGAGAAAGCUAUCUUGGCCGUUAUUGGCCGGAGAAUCGGGGCCUAACUAAAUAGCAUAGACUUUGUGAACCUGUAUCUCAACUUUCUUACCUGGGAGUGAUUUCUUUAGGGGGGGAUUUUUUUUUUUCUUCUUUCCUACCCAGUCUGUUUUCCCACCGGUUCCGUGACGGAUGAUAAGACAUCGAGCGCUUAGGUCCAGUCCGGGCUUAGGCGGUGAACCCCGUUCACGCGGAGGGGGGUGGGGUUGCCGACGGCCGCUGACCUCCAUCCCGGUUCACGGGGACAGCUACCACGUGAGGCGACCCGAGUCACAGGAAAGAAACAGAUGUCGAGUGUACAGCAUCCGGACCGGUUCAGGCUACACUUCGGAGGAGCUGUGUCAAUUCGCCCAUUGUUUUUUAAGGGGAGAACAGUUUUCUUUUGAGUAAAGUUGGUCAGUCGAAAAUGCACAUCAAGGAGUGAACAGAUAAAGCAGGGAACAUCACAUUAGCGUGAUUGAAAUGCUAGUAGGUUCCGUGCCAGUUUCCCACCACUGUGUACUUCAUUGCUAUUUAAAACUGUAUCAACUCUAACGGAAGAAUAAAUUAUUUGUGAUUUUAAUUUUCUCAUUUGUUUCUUUAAAUUAGAUCUCUCUCGCUCUCCUGUCCCAUCUGGAGAUUUGGCUGAGGGUUUUUUUUUUCUUCCUUUCUUUCUUUCUUUUUUUUUUCCCCCUUCAAUAAAGUCAGUCCAGUCUAGGCAAACCGUAUUUGUAUUCUAGGACUUUAUCAAAAUUCUCUUGCCAUGCCCAAGUUAAUUAGAAUUAACUGUUCAGUAAUCAGCAUGUUGUGUAGGCUGUUUGUUACAGAAUUCCUCCUCUGAAAAUGAAGUCCAUGAGGCUAUAAUCAAGAUGACUGAAUUAGAUAAAUGAGUUGAGGAGACAAAAAAAAUCUGAACCCAACCUGGUGCAGAUAUGUUAUCUCAUUUGAAAUAAGCUCAACUGACAUUAAGAAAUAAUUUGUCUUGCCAACCCAUCUUCUGUUGUCUUAUUCUCCUUUUAAUGGAAACUAAAAUUGCAAUUUUAAUAAGCAGAAUUUCCUCCAGGACUUCCUUCCUGGAGACUAGUGCAUUUGCAAGGUUUAAUUGUUUUAUAACGGUCCUAUUUCGUAAAAGUUUUUAAUUGGUGGUGACAAAAAUUACCUUAUUCCUCUGAUACCUAGUUAGAAGAAUAACUUAAGCGGUAGCUUCCCACCGAAGUUGGUAUUCCCAUCUAGAUUAGAGAUGCUGAAAAUGAAAAUUUCAUUUUAUCCUAAUAGGUUUCACGAUAAAGGACAAAUAUCAUUCCAUUCCUUAAUAAAUCCGUACACCAAGGCAGGAGGAAGAGCAAGACUGUCUGAGGGAGGAUGCAAAUUGGUGAUUGAUCAACACUUAAAAAAUGAAGUGCCCCUGUCUUUGUAAUUGAGAAUUGAAUUAGUUACUGCUCAGCAACAGCAGCUAAAAUGAUUAUCCUUACCCUGAUGGUUGGAUUUUCUUCAAAACCUGGUGGAGACCAUCUCAGUCUGGCCACCUAAUGGAAAUAAGUCGGGGGAAAGCGUAAGUGGAAUUUUUCUGCCAAAGCAUGUAGAUAGAUGGAUGAGAUGGUUGCAUCCGGGGGUUCUGGAAUAUGGCUACUUUUCGAAAGAGGAAUGACCCAAACUUGUUUUUUUUUCAUAGAGAAGAAAACCAGGGAGAGACUUCCAAUGGCCUAACGUAUCCAUUAUUGAAUCCUAGGAGUUUUUGUGUUUCUUUUCCAAUGCUCUACUAAUAAAGAACACUAUUUUCUCCAAAGCAGCCCAAAUGGAUAUUCCUUUUACCCGUUCUAAAUGGAUGUGCCUCAAACCUAAGAAAUGAAGCGUCUCGACAGUGAACAUAAAUCUCUUUGAUUUUGUCUCAUAAAUCUGAGCCUUGUAAACGUCCUAAGUGGCUGUAGUUUUUGAAAAAAAUUUUUUUUUUUAGAUGUCAGCUGCUUGACUUGGCUGUUGGUAGAUUCGGUUAUAAAAGCUAGAGUGCGUGUGUCACCUGUGUGCGUGUGUGCUUUUUUGUUAUUGGGGACAUUUUUAUGUUGCCUUAAAAUUAAUUUUACCCAGCCUGAAAUCAAAUUCUCCUUCACAUCAAAGAGCUUGUCUUUUUUGGCCCUGCUUUGGCAGCGGGUUGGCACCGAAGGGGGCGUUAAAGAAAAAGACAAGCUGCCGAGGCAAGUUGAGUGGUGGGUGAGAUCGGUUUGUUUUCAUGUUGUGCUAAAUCAGAGUUCACCGAGUCCCUUCUUUUCUCUUCUCGGUGAAUCUAGAGCCGGAGGAGACGUUUAGAGGUUUGCAAACAUACUGUUUUAUUCUCCCCUGUUCCCUGGUACUCGGCCCAAAGCCUUUAAAACCGCAGCCGGUUCCUCACCCAGAAGGCACAAAAAGGUGAAAUCGAUUCCUAGGGGUCUCCAGAAGAAACUAGUCGCCGUUUCCAGCCGUGGGUUGCAAGUGCCCCACCUCUACCCCUAGUCCACAGUGCCAAGGGACACCAGGAGAUCAUGUGGUGGUCUGCCAGUGACCCCUGCCUCUGAUCAGUCCCUCCUGUGCUCCCCUCAACCAACCCAUCGAUCCUUGGUCUUUAUUGAGCGCUGACCGUG